rnacentral:rRNA from 1 species
GACGAACGCUGGCGGCGUGCUUAACACAUGCAAGUCGAACGAAGAGCGAUGGAAGCUUGCUUCUAUCAAUCUUAGUGGCGAACGGGUGAGUAACGCGUAAUCAACCUGCCCUUCAGAGGGGGACAACAGUUGGAAACGACUGCUAAUACCGCAUACGAUCUAAACUCGGCAUCGAGGAUAGAUGAAAGGUGGCCUCUACAUGUAAGCUAUCACUGAAGGAGGGGAUUGCGUCUGAUUAGCUAGUUGGAGGGGUAAUGGCCCACCAAGGCGAUGAUCAGUAGCCGGUCUGAGAGGAUGAACGGCCACAUUGGGACUGAGACACGGCCCAGACUCCUACGGGAGGCAGCAGUGGGGAAUCUUCCGCAAUGGACGAAAGUCUGACGGAGCAACGCCGCGUGAGUGAUGACGGCCUUCGGGUUGUAAAGCUCUGUUAAUCGGGACGAAAGGCCUUCUUGCGAAUAGUGAGAAGGAUUGACGGUACCGGAAUAGAAAGCCCGG